rnacentral:lncRNA from 1 species
GAACUGCGACGAAAUAAAGCAGGCCUUUCCGCAGUCGGCCACGUCCAACAGCCACUUGGUUCCUAGCGCUUUCUCGUUACCCGGCUUGGGCAAAGCCAGGGAAGAAGGGGAUAGGACAUAGGGAUGGGUUAACAAAGCGGGAGCAACAGACCAAAGUAACCUCCUUGUAUUGCCCCCCACCCCUCAUCCCCUGGGGACACCGGCCUGGCUCCCGUGGGACCAGCAUCGCCAUCCCUGUCCCCUGUACGAGACUCUCCGCUGGGCCGAGGGCCGGGCUUGUGUUUGGGAAGGGUUUCUCAAGCUUGCAGUAAAAUGCUGAGAUUCUGGCCAGUAAUUUCCCCUUCAGACCUAACCUGCCUUGCCCAAUGACUAGGUAGGCUUUUGGAAACUUUGAUUCAAGAAAUAGAGCGGUUGGUAAUAAUCUCUGAUGAUCAGUCCGAGCUUGGCAUUUUCAUUUG